ensembl:snoRNA
AAGCAUGCUCAAUACAGUGAUGUCCGACCUGACCUACACAGGCCUCUGCUCUGGGGGUGAUGGCCAGUCCUGGUAUCUGAGUGAUU